UGUAAACAGGGCCGCUGCCCUGCCCAGGAAGGGUGGGAAGAAACCAGCUGGUGCUGUUGUCAUCGUUUCUGGGAAUUCCCCCUUGAAGAAUGAAGCCUGGCGGGCUAAAGAGCGAGACCCGGCGCGCAGGCCGCGGGUGGCGGUGGAGCCGCUUCCCUCAGGCCCCGAGGCUGUCCGGAGCGGCGGCCCCGGGGAUGGCAGUUGUCAGGCGCGGUGGGGCGCGGAGGCCCUGGAGCAAGCUUCGCUAGCACAGAGGCGUGGGAACGCGAGGACGCGCGGUUCCGGAGUCUCGGCGAGCGGCCGGCCGCGCUGAGGAGAGCGGCUGAGGAGAACUCCUGUGGUGAAGCGGCGAGACCGCACAGGCGCCGUGAGGGAGCCUGCGUGACGAAAAGGGAAAGUAAAGAGCGCGUGGAGUGGCCGGCACGAAACGGGCGGACGCGUUCUUCCUGUCAGACAGGCGGAGUGAAAACAUCAACCCGUGCGAGUGGCUUUUCAGGACUCUUAGAGCCUUUCUGAAGGGAACAAGCCUUGUGGGCCACCCGUGCCCCUCAAUUUAGACCAAAGACAUCAGAGCUCUGAGCGAAGGUUUAUAAUUUCAGGAAAAAAAUAGAAAUCCUAGAAGUGGCGAAAGCAUUAAGGAAUUUAUGAAACGGGUGCUGCAGCAUGAAUGGACGUCUGCUUGUACCUGCUCUCAGCUAUGGCCUGGGAGGGCAGUAGAAGAUGGCCCAAAUCCCUGGGCCCCUGCACCUGUGUGGGAGACCCAGAAAAAGCUCCUGGCUCCUGGCUUCGGAUCGGCGUAGCUCUGGCCAUUGCAGCCAAGUGGGGAGUGAACCAGCGGAUGGAAGACCUUUCUCUCUCUCUGCCUCUCCUC